ACUUAUUUCGUAUGUGAUGCAACUACAAUGCUUGAGAGGUCUAGUGAUCGGUCUCAAAAGCAAGAUGGGAAUGGUCAAACAGAGGAAUCGAGAUAGAUGUCUGUCUCUGCCUCACCGUAAGGGUUUCCGGUUGAGCUGCCAUCUCUAUUGGCCUGUCCUGUGCCAGUCGAGGGCUUUAGCGGUGAUCAGGGCAUUCAUCCGUCGGAUUAGUCUAACCCGGUCAAUGCAUGGAUUUAUGUUCUCAGUAUGAGUUCUUUCUUUCUUCAUUGGGUGAGUUGGGAUUAGAAGAAAGUCUCCGUAGGUCCGCUACUCCCCUCUUCGUUCAAUCUUAACUAUGCCAUGCCAAGGGUCAUCGAAGAACUAACCUUUCUGCCUUUCCCUUGCCCGGGUCAAAGAAAAAAAGAAAAAUAUGUAACAUAACGGAAAUGACAGCUAAAAUAGCAACAUGAGAUAGGAGAGAGCUGACCCAGCAACGGCAUAGGAAAGAUGUGAUCCGGUAAUUUGUGUAAAAGAAAGAUGAUCAGGCACUAACACAGCUAUGGAAGUCCGAUUCUUCCUUGAUUUUUUCUCCCCUUUCGGUAUGCCGCUCUGCUCGCAGAGCGAAUGAACCAAAAUCCAACCUAAUAUGAAUAUCCUUCGACCGUUAUAUCCUCAUCUUUCCCAUAUUUUCCAACGAUGGUCCAUUCCUUUCCUAUUCCUCGCCACGAUCGUUUUGUUUUUUUAUCUUAUUUGUCUACAAGUUGACGUUCUCAACUUUUGCAUUUCCGUCCUUUCAAAAGUGGGGCUCCGUGUAGGGGGGCGCGCCCUAUUUUGCUUUUUCGGCUGCCACGGGAGUCUUACCUUAGCGAUCGCUUUUGCUUUUUGGGUGCUGACCGGAGAACCUUCCCUUAUUUGGAAGAUGAUGCCUUCCGGUGAAGGUACUUCGGGCACAAAGCUUCCUCUUUCCGUCGG
rnacentral:lncRNA from 1 species